UCCCUUUCUGCCAGUCAUCCACUCUCUCCUUUGAAUUUCGAUGGCUCCUGAUUCAUUGUAUAAUUGUACUUCUUUCCUCUUAGGUUGAACUGGCAUGGUACAUCAGAGAUAUCUCUUCAUAUUUAACAUGCAGAAAUGCUUGCCUUUUACUACAUCCCUGAGCAGAAGCUCAUAUGUGGGCCCCUACUCAUGCGUGAGCCAUGAAGGAAGGAGGAUUAGUUGUUGAACUACUGAUCAUAUGGUCCCUCCUCUGAUUUAAGAUGUUUCAACCCGUGGUUUGGGAAGAGACGUGCGAUCGUAUCCAACAUUGGUGACCAGGUCGAGGGAUCUAUUCCUUUGUGCUAUAGCCAGGAAAUAAAUUGAUCUGUCUCUCGUGAAAAAUUUCUCUGAUGAUUUUUCCCUACAGAUCUUUAGGAUUCAUGGGCAUGUACCCUGACCAAAGCAUGUAACACGGAGCGAUCUGUUAAUGCCGUUGGCAUAUCUUCUCCACUUGGUCAUGCUUCGCAAGAGAAACUUGGAGUUAAAGGUAUUUUGUAUUGAUGAAUGCACUAGAAGUUAAUCCUGAUGGUCGGAGGAUAAGGGAUAGCAUGAGCCUGGCAAUGACAAAUUAAUUUGUGAGCCUCCUUCCACCAAAAUCUAGUGUUGUAUCAAGCACCAACCAUAAGGGCAUGUAUCAAGCAAUAGCUCCUAAUUUGUUCUUGGAAAGUUGACAAAACUCAGCUGACAUUUUCAGUUGCUCCUAUGCAAAUAAAGCCUAAAUUCGCAUCUUUUGAUGAGAGCAAGAUUUUAUAUGAAAUGUUAAGGCAGUGACCUAUUUCCAGAAUAUAUUUUGGGUUGGAACAGAGGUUUUAUUCUACAUCAUAACGAUGUUAAUCUGUUGGGAAUCAGGAAGCAAAGCUAUGCCUGCACUUGUAUGGUUGAUAUCAAAAUUAUCAACCCCUACUUUUUCUGUUAAAUAAGUCUGACACGUGUUUUACUGCCCUGCCUAUAAUGUGGUGUACUGAUAUGCUCACUUCACAUUAUGUCUAUGCAUGUAACCAAACCUAUCACAUAUCAUUAUACCUUGAUCUAUUAUUUUGGAUGAUACAAGCUAUGUAAAUUCUACUGCAUCAUACAG